GUACUUGCUUCGGCAGUACAUAUACUAAAAUUGGAACGAUACAGAGAAGAUUAGCAUGGCCCCUGCGCAAGGAUGACACCCUGUAUUGCUGAGCACUUUAAUAUUUGA
rnacentral:snRNA from 1 species